UACGUAGGGGGCUAGCGUUGUCCGGAAUCAUUGGGCGUAAAGCGCGUGUAGGCGGCCCGGUAAGUCCGCUGUGAAAGUCGGGGGCUCAACCCUCGGAUGCCGGUGGAUACUGUCGGGCUAGAGUACGGAAGAGGCGAGUGGAAUUCCUGGUGUAGCGGUGAAAUGCGCAGAUAUCAGGAGGAACACCAAUUGCGAAGGCAGCUCGCUGGGACGUUACUGACGCCGAGACGCGAAAGCGUGGGGAGCAAACAGG
rnacentral:rRNA from 1 species